UGACCACAGGCUUUGGUUUCAGGACAAUGCAGACUGGGCAGCAGAUCAAAUAAAGCCAUCACCAGCGCAUAGGACAGUCUCAAGGGGGUUAACUGUCCCUGUCCUCUACAAUUGUUGCUGGGGAGCAAUUUGCCCUUGAAUCUUCCAUACUGUCCCUAAAUUGACAAUUUCAUUUCCUUCCAAUCCCGCCCCCUGCCCUGAAGAUCUGCUGAGGCUGCGAGUUCCAUGUGAGAAGGCAGGAGGAUAAUAGGCAGCUCCUGUGUAAGGAAGUCAAGAUUUUCUCAAGGGAAAAAUCACCCUAGAAACCAUCAACUCAUGACAAACGUGAUCUCCAACGUUCAUUGUGGAAAAUAGCCUCAAGGAUGAGAUGAUGAGGAUUUUGAAGAUGGGGCCUACCUUCGGGGUGUGGAGGUAGAGACAGGAGAGAAGCUCAGGAUGCUGCUCAGAACAACCCAUGGCUCAGACUUCCCACCUGCAAGAUGAGCAGACGGGCAGAAGGGUCCUCUCCUUGUCUGCCACCCGCAUGGCGUGCUGUGAGGAGCCUGUGAGAACCUGCCCAUCACCAUGAGAAGUGCAACACCAACCUCAGGUGGAAGGUCUUAAGAGAAAACACUGAGGUCCCUCGAAGAUGAAGAAAUCCUCAUGAAGAUGAAUCCAAAGGUGGAUUCAAUUUCAGCUGUCUUUGGACUGAAGACUGCAACAUCAACACUUCCCAGGGUCUCCAGCCUGCCCGCCUCUCCCGCAAAUUUCAGAUUUGCAAGUAUCCACAGUCAUGAGCAAUUCCUUAAAGUAAAUAUUUCUCUGUUUCUUUCUGGAUGAAGUGCAAAAAAUGAACAAGGAGGCCCAAUGAUGCAUCUGCUUAACUUUUCAGUUGUCAAUGCAAAUUAAGCACAAAGAGGACAGAGUUGAUGACAUAUCAGGAACAUUUUUUACUUCCGGAGCAGGUCUGAGUCCCAGCGGAAGACUGAGGCCGACUGAGCCAGAGGCACCACUUCAAUAGGUCACUGGUCUCUGCAGGGAAAGGAAAAGGUGUAAGAGUUCUCCCUGCAUAGAUGCUAUUUGUGACUUGGAUGUUUUCUUUCUAAUACAAAUGCAUCAAAGUGUUCACAGGAAUCUAGCUAUAUGCAAGAAGUCUGGAUUAUCUGCCUGAGAGAACUGGCCAGUAUCUCACCCAUGAGCACCAGAACCCAUUUCUAGAUUACUAAGAAAGGAGCACAAGAACACUGUGUAUAAGGCUCUGUGUUCCUAGAACUUUCUAAAUUUUACUUAAUGCAGGUUAACUUCAUCAACCCUGGUGAAAAUGCCACCUCCUCAUGAGGAAGCCUUCCCC
rnacentral:lncRNA from 1 species